rnacentral:sRNA from 1 species
UAUUUUUUGGAUUAAAAAAUAAUUAAAUAGUAAAGUGCCAGCCGUUUUUAAGAAAUUGUAACAAAAUCGCCCCCCACGCGUAUACCAAAAUAUCGGUUUCCAAACGUAUAGAAAAUAAAAAAUUGUAAUAACGUAAUAAAAACGUUCAAAGGAACGCAAUUUUUAAUUUUUUAAAAAUUGCCAAAAUAAUAUUACGUUUUAAAAAUAUAAUACUCCCGGGUUUUUUACCCUUUUUUAUAUUUUUAAACAGAUUUGAUAAAAAGCGUGUAAUGGAUAAAUAACGACAAAUAAAACGACGAUAAAAAUUACAAACCCCCAAAAAAAACCUAAAUAUUAUAAAAUAAUUUGGGUGCAGGUUAUUUUUAAAUAGCGGUUACCUUAGUUAAAUUUAUAAAUAUUUUUUAAAUAUUAAUUAUAUAAUUUGAAAAUUUAGUUUUUUAUAUAUAAAAUUCGCAUUUUAGCAAUUUAACGUACAAAUUUGCCUCCCGAAAUCUUUCCCAAAUUCCCCGUAUAUAUUUUUUAUAAGUUAUUUUGUUGAAAAAAUAAAUUAAAAUAUUAUUUAAAUAUAAAACGCAAUAGCGAUUUACGAAAUUUCCCAAAACCUUUUAUAUAUAAUUUUGGAAAAUCGCUGGGACGUUGUAAAAACCAAAAAAUAUAUUAAUAUAUUCAAAAUAAUUAUAACGAAUGCGAAAAACAAUUUUCUAUUUAUCCCUUUCUUUAAUACGAACUUUAUAAUAUGCAUUUUUAACAUUUAAUUUGGUAAACCAUUGCAAAUUUUGCAUGCGGUUUAUAAUUUUUAUAAUUAGGGGUAAAAACUACCUGUUUUUCUUAAUAAUCGAAUUUAAAUUUCAAUAAUUUACGCAAAAACGCAAUAUCCCUUUUUUGGAAAUAAAAAAAAUAAAUACCUUUGCAAAAUUGUUGGAUUUACAAAUACGUUUGAAUUUCAGGUUUUCUUUAAUAUAUUUUUAUAAUUUAGCCAAUUCUUUUGGUAAUAAAAGAUAAAUGGGCAAAUGUGGAGAUAUGUUUUUAUAAUUAAAUUAAUGGAAUGCACCGCGUUAAUAUUAAUAGGUAUAAUUUUAAUUACCUAUUUUGAAAAGAUAUUUUGGUAAUUUUAAUAUUUUUGCGGUAUAAUAAUUUUCCGUUUGGAAAAAGGGUUUCUUUUUAUUUUUAUCGGGUAAAACGGGAAAUAAAUAAUUUGCUAGGGUAACGGUAUUAAUCCGUGUCACGUAUUUGCCCGACGAUAUAACAAAUACGACAAAUGGAUUAAAAGAUCCUGCAGUACCUGCACUUAACAAGUACUUCGUCGGUCCCAAUUAUAAAGUUUUGUUGCACGAACAUAAUAAUCCGUAUAUAUCCCUUAAUCAAAUAUAAAAAGUUUUUAACGUUAUUAUAUAUUUGAAAAAGUUUUCUAUUAUUUUAAGCCAUUAUUAGUGCGUGGAAUUAUUUAUAAUAAUAUUUUAUUUACCAAAACCGGUUCCCCCCAAAUAAUAAAAGGGUUUCCCUUCCAUUUUUUGAAAAUAUUUCGAAAAUCGGUAAUCCAUAAUUAUAUAAAAUAAAUUCUUCUGGUAAUAAUCUCGUCCUAUCCCAUAUUAAUAAUAAUUAAUAUUUUACAAAUUUGCAAUAAUAAUUAAUAUUAUAACGCAAAGAUUUUAUCAAUUAAAUUAAUUUUUCACCCGUAUUUAUAAACAUUUGGGCAAUAAUUCCAAAUAAAUUUAAUAACCGAACCGAAAUUUAAAAUAUAGGACGUUGGGGUAAAAUUGGGGUAUUAAAUUUGUUAAAUAUAAUAAUAAACUUUCGAAAAAAGUUAUUUUGCGUAUUUUUGCUUUUAACCAUUUGAAUUUUAAUUUUUUUUAAUUUGAAAUUAGUCCAAAAUUUUGGUUUAUUAUUUAUUUAACCCCGAACCUUUUUCCAAAUAUUAAUAAGCGAAAUGCGUAUUAUUAUUGCACCGGUAAUACCGAAUUAAUUUUCCAAUGGUUUUAUCUUUUCAAUUUUUCCAACAUUUAAAAUUUUCGGACCCCCCGGAUUUGGGUUUUUUUGUUAAAUUUGCGUUCUGUCCGAUUUCCGCUGGAAUCUCUGUUAUUUCCCCUGGUUUUACGUUUAUUUUUGCAUUGGGAAAAAUUAUUCUGGGUAAUUUGCGAUUUCCCGUCUUUUCCGUUCCCAUUUUUCUCGGUUCUUUGGGUUUUUUUAUUAGAAUAUUAUCCUGUUAAAUUCUUUUUAACGCUUUAUUUUCGUUUUUUAAUAUUAGUUUAGUAUUUUUAUAUCCAAAUUACCGUUUUAUGUCGGGUAAAAAAUAUAUUACCGCAAUAAAUAUUAAAAUAUCUUUUUAAUUUAAAUACUAAUUUAUUAAAAACCCGUAUAAAACAAUUUUUUUCGGUUUCCCUAUCCAUAGAAAAUUGUAAGAUUAAAAAAUAAAUAUGGAAAUUAAAAGGAAACUAUUUUAUAAAAUAUUUGAUUUGUUCCAAUUUUAACGUAAUAUUUUCCUUUUUUAUUUUAUUAGUUUUGAUAAACGUUUUUAUUAAUUUAACGAAACCGGUCCAAUUAAUUUUAAUAAUAAUAUAUUUGUAUUUUGGCAACCCCAAAAUAUAAAUAUUAUAACGGUUUCGAAAUAUAAUUGAUAAGGUUAAAAACCCGUAAAAAACUUAACGUUCCUUUGUAUAAUAUUUUCUGGAUAUUGCUUUAAAUAUUUAUUAUAUUUGUAAUAACUAAUUAUUUCGUUAUUUUUAUAAUAAAUUAAAUUUAAAAAUUAAAAAAAUACGGAUUUUUAAUUUCCCUUUUUCUUUUAUUUUUAAAGAAUUAACGUUUUUUUCAAUAAAAAGUUGGAAUUGUUUUGAAAUUCUUUUGGUUUUCCGUUGGAAAUCCAUUUUCUUUAUCCAAACUUUUUAUAACGUUCGAAUUGGCGUAUUUUCUUUAACGUCGAAAUCGACUAUAGGUUUAAUAAUUUUUAAAAAUUCGUUUGGAUAAUUGUCGGUUAUUAUAUAAAUAACCCAAAUAAAAAAAUUAAAAUUAUUACGACCGGGGAUUGGAUAUUAAUUAAAUACACGCUAACUAACAAAAUAUAGGGUAGUAAUAUAACGUAUAAUAAUCCACAAUAAUAUUAUAAUAAUAACAUUUGGAUUAAAAACUGAUUUUUAAAGAUUUAAAACUAAGUUGCUACCCUUAGAAUUUAGGAGCCCCUAUUUAUAAGCGGCGUUCCUAUUAUAUUUACGUAACGCGAGUUUACAAGUUUAGCAAAACCCAGCCCCUAAGGUUAUACGCUAGCAUUUAAACACUAAUAAAUCUACACGUAAUAUAUAUAAAAUAAAAAAACAUUAAA